GACAGAGGGUGCAAACGUUGUUCGGAUUUACUGGGCGUAAAGCGCGUGUAGGCGGCUUGGCAAGUCGGAUGUGAAAGCCCACGGCUCAACCGUGGAAGCGCAUCCAAAACUGCUUCGCUCGAGUCUCGGAGAGGAAGGUGGAAUGCUUGGUGUAGAGGUGAAAUUCGUAGAUAUCAAGCAGAACACCUGCGGCGAAGGCGGCCUUCUGGACGAUGACUGACGCUGAGACGCGAAAGCGUGGGGAGCAAACAGG
rnacentral:rRNA from 1 species